GCCCUUGAGGCGUGGCUUCCGGAGCUAACGCGUUAAGUCGACCGCCUGGGGAGUACGGCCGCAAGGUUAAAACUCAAAUGAAUUGACGGGGGCCCGCACAAGCGGUGGAGCAUGUGGUUUAAUUCGAUGCAACGCGAAGAACCUUACCUACUCUUGACAUCCAGAGAACUUACCAGAGAUGCUUUGGUGCCUUCGGGAACUCUGAGACAGGUGCUGCAUGGCUGUCGUCAGCUCGUGUUGUGAAAUGUUGGGUUAAGUCCCGCAACGAGCGCAACCCUUAUCCUUUGUUGCCAGCGGUUCGGCCGGGAACUCAAAGGAGACUGCCAGUGAUAAACUGGAGGAAGGUGGGGAUGACGUCAAGUCAUCAUGGCCCUUACGAGUAGGGCUACACACGUGCUACAAUGGCGCAUACAAAGAGAAGCGACCUCGCGAGAGCAAGCGGACCUCAUAAAGUGCGUCGUAGUCCGGAUUGGAGUCUGCAACUCGACUCCAUGAAGUCGGAAUCGCUAGUAAUCGUAGAUCAGAAUGCUACGGUGAAUACGUUCCCGGGCCUUGUACACACCGCCCGUCACACCAUGGGAGUGGGUUGCAAAAGAAGUAGGUAGCUUAACCUUCGGGAGGGCGCUUACCACUUUGUGAUUCAUGACUGGGGUGAAGU
rnacentral:rRNA from 1 species